GGAAAUAGGGUGAGUACUUGCAAAAGCCACUCUGACGCUCAAGUCAGUGUUUUGGCGCUUGCACUUGAGCUGACCUUGCGGACCCCAAUACCCUGAGCCAUCCUUCCGGUCCCAUGCACCCUCAGUUUCUUAACUGAUCCAAGGUUUUCUUUUUUUGGCUCUUGCGAUUGAGCAGACCUUGCGGACCCCAAUACCCCUGAGCCGUCCUUCCGGACCCAUGCGCCAUCGGUUUCUCAACUGAUCCAAGGUGUCCAUGACUUUUUAUUUUAUUAUUAUUUUUUUCUUGGAGCUUGCGGUGGAGCUGACCUUACGGACCCCAAUACCCCUGAGCCGUCUUUCCGAACCCAUGUGCCUUCGGUUUCUCAACUGAUCCAAGGUAUCCAUGACUUUUUAUUUUUUUCUUGGAGCUUGCGGUGGAGCUGACCUUGUGGACCCCAAUACCCCUGAGCCGUCUUUCUGGACCCAUGCGCUUUCGGUUUCUCAACUGAUCCAAGGUGUCCAUGUCUUUUUUUAUUUUUUGCCCUUGCGCUUGAGUUGACCUUGUGGACCCCAAUACCCCUAAGCCGUCCUUCCGAACCCAUGCGCCUUCGGUUUCUCAACUGAUCUAAGGUGUCCAUGAAAUAUAUAUUUUUUUUUGGCGCUUGCGCUUGAGCUAACCUUGUAGGGCCCACUAC
rnacentral:lncRNA from 1 species